UCAAAAUUUCUGCUACCUUUGCCUUUUUAGGGUUUUGCCUUUUCAGAUUUUGAACUAUUAGAUUUCUCUCAACUAAGCUAUGUCAUAGUCCCCCAUUGUUUUGUAAUAGCUCCAAGAAGCAGAUGUUUCUAGUGAACCAAUGCUUGCUGGACACACCAGAACACAAGCACCUAUGAACUCACAGUAGCUGUGACUGUGCAUAAUAAACUUGUACAAGAUCAAGCCAGCCCACAUUCCAGUAAAUACUGGGCAGUGGUUCCUGAAGUCUCACCCUUAUUUGAGGAAAAUUGACAACUGAAAAUGCCAAGGGAGGGAUAGUUAUCUUACUUCAAUGAUGAAAGCCAUGAAGAGCUAGCUACCCAUUCUCUGAAGAUGGUUCUGUGACCAUGUACAUGCAGGAAGCAUGAAAUGACUCAGCGUGUAUUAAAGAAAAGGAGAGAGCUCAUGAAUUUGCAUGAGAAAAAAUUAUUGAUGGGAAAUGAGGAUGUGGAGGAAAGAAAAUGGUAUGUGAAUUUGAUCAGAUAUUAUAUGCACAAACAAAUAUUAAAUGCAACAUAUUUAAAAAAAUCCAGAAGUGAUUUAAAUCUUUAUAGAGGAAAUACAGAUUAGUCUUCAAAUAAUGGAUUGUUCUACUG
rnacentral:lncRNA from 1 species